CUGAGCUGGGCGGAGGCCUGUCCUGUCUGGGCUUUUGAAGUGCAGGUUGGAAACGGACACCUGCCUGGACCCCACACCUUUGGCCAGGGACAGGGCCACUUAGCUGAGGUGGACAGAGGUCAGCAAAGAUGGGUGUCCAGAGAAACCGGACCCAACUUGCUCAAGAGAAUUGCAGCCAGGCAUGGGCGUGCACUCCUGUUAUCCCAGCACUCCGGAGGCUGAGGUAGGAAGAUCAAAACUUUAAGCCCAGCCUGUACAGGCACCAAGUCCCUCCAGCGGGCCAGCAAACCCAAGCCUGGUUCUGCGGGAGUCACUUCUGGGAUCAGGCCUGGGUCCUCUACCUCAUUUGGUCCCUGGGACUGAAUGACCUCUCCUCUCUCCUGGUUUCUCUGUGAUGCAAACAUGUUGCUGAGUCCAUGAAGGACUGAGUUCCUGGGCAGCUGGAAUGGUGGGGAAACUCCCAAGAGAGCACCGGUCCCUUCCGUCCACCUGCAGGACUCAGUAAAUCAAUUUCGGGGACGCAAUGGGAGGUGAGGACGGGACAAAAAAACCUGCAGCUUUGCCAAGAGAAGACCCGGCCACUCCAGUCCGUGCAGGCUGCUCAGCACCUGGACACUGCCUGCUCUGUUUGUCACCACGAAUCUUGAUUUGCAGGACUUCCACCCAGCUGGGGUUCCACACCUUCUUUCUAGACCAGGUCCCAGCAGGCAACCAAUGGGACUGCAGUGUGGGCCACGCGCUGACCUCACUGCCAGUGGCUGCUGUCCCGUGUGGGAGACUCCAGAAUGGACACUUUGAAUGCCCCAGAGACGCAGCGUGCUCUGGAUGCCCCAGGGUGCAUGGGAGACCCCAAGAUGCUCCAGAGACCAGCAUGGGCUGGAGACCCCAGGAUGCGCUGGACGGAGCCUGGCCUGGGAGGCCUGAUGUCUGGUGACAGAGCCAGGCAGGACAUAAAAUCUGAGACAUGGAGGGGUCUGGUGGGGUAGACAGGGCCCUGGCCAGUGGAGGUGGGGUCUCCCAGCCAGGGUCCAGGGGCUUCUCCAAAGAGGAGUGAUCUCAGCUGACACCCACAGGCAGCCUGGGCUGUCCAGAGCCCAGGCAGAGGGCCCGGCACUGAGAGACCCAGUGGGCAGGUGUCCCCGUCAUGGGCCGGCACUCAGGCCCUGGAUUCCAGUGCCCCUUGCAGGCAACGACAGGUUCAGGACGGGCGUGUGCCCAGGAUGCAGGCUGGCUCUUCAGAAGGGCCCGCUGUGCUCCGCUCACAGGGUUAGCUCCAGCCUCAGCUCCCCACCUGCACAGUGAGGGUGAUGACAACGGGGUCCUGAGAAGAAACCCAUGAAACACAGGGACCUGCCCGGCCCUUCCCAUGAGUGGUGCAGACGUCCUCAGAAGGGGAGGGCAGGGGGAGCUCCCUUGCGAGUCCCCAGGGUCCCACUGAAGGCUCCACCCUACUGAGAGCCUGUCAUCCGCCUGAUGGCACCGAGCAUGUCCCCCCAAGGGGCCCGGGACUCUAACAUCUCGGCCCAGUGAUGCCAUCAUCCUACCAGAGCCCAGGCGCCAUCAGGAGGGCAGGGCAAGGUGUCUGUUUCCUGACCCCAGAAGGCAGAUGGAACCCCGAAGCCAGCGCUGCAUCUGGGACAGCACGGGGGCGAGACCCCACCCCUCCUGCUGGGACUCAGCUGUCUCUCUCCAUUCCAGCUGGCUGCCUGUUGCUGUGACACCCACCCCAGCUCACAGAAGGUUCCUGAGCUCAGGGCUGUGGGGGCUGGAAGUCCAAGAUCGUGGGCGGCACUGUGAGGCAUCCCACAGGGAGAGACAGCAUGCCACCACAGGGCCACUGUCAGGGCCUCAGGGAACCCCAACCACCCUCAGAGGACCCACCUCCAAACACAUGUGACUCUUGGGUUACAUCUCCAACACAAGGACUUCCAGGGCACACGGUGACCCUCAGUGCUCUCCCCCAGCCUGCAGAGCAGAGGAGACACGGGCCUGCUCAGGGUCAUGUAAGGGCUAGGACAGAUGGGACCUGGCCAGCCUCAGGCAGGGACAGUGGGCAGAAGUCUGAAUGGGGCCAGAGCUGGGAGGACAGGGACAGGGCCACGGCCCCAGCCACCCCUGUGAGGGCUGGCAGGAACCCCCACUGGGAGGGACACUUCCUAAGCACCCAGGUGGGAGGACCCAAGGUCCCCAUGCUGCCUGCUUCAAGGGGGCAGAGGCCAAGUGGGGAUCCCCAGGUGGCCCGGGUGUGAGCUGGGCAGGAAAAGCAGGGUGGGGCUCUGCUGUCCCCAGGUCCUCCUCCUGCCUCUGCCCACUGCAGCCCAGCUCUUCGGCGUCACUGAUGGUCUUCUUUCUGGCAGUACUGGGGUUCGAACCUGGGCCUUGUGCAUUCUAGGCCAACAUCCUACCUCUGAGCUACAUGCUCAGCUUCCUGCCAGACAUGGAAGGGUCACCCCCGGUAGCCGGUGUCCACAAGCCCCUCAGCAUGCCUCCGACCCCCGCCCAGCAGGCUGCUCUUUUCGCUAAGAAUCACGUGACUCGGGAGACUAACUUGCCUCUUUUCUUCACUGGAAUGGAGUUUAGCAUAUCAAAGGGUUCUAAUAAAUUGUUAUAUGAAUGAAUACAAUGCACGUGAGUCUAAGGGCCUCUCGAGGGCACGCACCUCUCCCUGGUUGGUUUCAGUAACAAUAAUUACCAUAAUACCUGUCAUUUACGGAGCCCUGCCUGAUUUCUCAGCAGAGCUAAAAAUGUUCACCUCAAC
rnacentral:lncRNA from 1 species